rnacentral:rRNA from 1 species
AACGAACGCUGGCGGGAUGCCUAACACAUGCAAGUCGAACGAGCCCUUCGGGGUUAGUGGCGCACGGGUGCGUAACGCGUGGGAAUCUGCCCUUGGGUUCGGAAUAACUCGCCGAAAGGCGUGCUAAUACCGGAUGAUGUCGAAAGACCAAAGAUUUAUCGCCCAAGGAUGAGCCCGCGUAAGAUUAGGUAGUUGGUGAGGUAAAGGCUCACCAAGCCGACGAUCUUUAGCUGGUCUGAGAGGAUGAUCAGCCACACUGGGACUGAGACACGGCCCAGACUCCUACGGGAGGCAGCAGUGGGGAAUAUUGGACAAUGGGCGAAAGCCUGAUCCAGCAAUGCCGCGUGAGUGAUGAAGGCCUUAGGGUUGUAAAGCUCUUUUACCCGGGAUGAUAAUGACAGUACCGGGAGAAUAAGCUCCGGCUAACUCCGUGC